CUGCUUACAUAAUGAAUAAAAUCAAAUCACCAUCUUUCGGCUGAGUUUGUGAUGGAUUUGCUUUUUUUCUGAUAAAGCUG